CGACUUUAAUUCUUUCAACUCUGUUGGUGCCAUUCUAUAUAGAGCAAUCGAAAUCGGAGCUGUUCCCGGUAUCAAAUCAAUACCAAAUUCUACUUCCCUGACUGGAGGCAAACCCGGCAAUUCUUCUGGAAAUACAUCCACAAAUUCACACACAACCGGCACUGAUUCAACUUUCUUUUCAACUUCUUUUGUAUUAAUUAGAUACGCCAAAUAAGCUUCAUAACCC
rnacentral:lncRNA from 1 species